CUAUGAUUCCUUGAUUUGCAGAUGUCCUGUGCUGGGCCUCCACAGCCUUGUGGGAGCUAUACCUCCCUCCCGCCUUUCUCUGGAGCAGCAGAGGGACCAGUACUGAUGGACAAGGGAACAAGUAAAAAAGAUGAGGAAACAAUGAGUAACCUUCGGGCAGGUCCCAUGCCAAAUCCUUGUUCUGUCUACAACAACAACCACAACAACAACAAAUAGAAAACUGCUUACUUUGGCCCGAUUCAAGCAUUUUUCUCGAGCUGAUAUUAAAUAUUUCAUCCUCAA